GUUUAGGUAGUUUAUGUAUCACUUAAAACAGUCUCUUGAAAAGGGACAGAAAAUUCGUUUCCUAGACA
rnacentral:tRNA from 1 species